CUUAAGAAGAAUACCUAGAAACAUCUGGGGUCCUUCUAUUUCAUUGUCUUACAAUUAUUAGGCUUUGUGUAAACGCUCGCAGAUUGAAUGACGAAAUAAAAGAAGAAACUACAGCACAGUCAAUUUUCUCCAUGACAGCCUGAGAGAUGUAGCUGGUGCUGCCACUUUUCCUUCAUUUUUCCCUGCCUUGAAUAUGGUGGUGAUGCCUGGAGCUUCAGCAGCCAUCUUAUGGCCAUGAAAUGGCAAGCAUGAGAAUGAAAGAAAAUGCACUCAUCAUGAAAGGAGGAAGAGCAGAAGAAAUCUGGGUCACUGGUGAUAUCAAUGGAUAGCUGAAGCAGUGUGGGCUGCUCUGGAUGGAAAAUGCCCUGGGUUCUCCGAGACUUAACACCCCGCCUUGUGAACGCGAGCAAGAUUAUUCUCUCUGAGCAGCUCUUUUCACAUGUGAUAAGCUUGGCAAGUUGCCCUGGAUUGAAUUCUCACCCACUGUCUUCACCCAACCCAGCAGAGAAGAAGGCUUGUGACUGUGUAAGGUGAAAAUGGAUAUACCAUUUCUGGGAAGAGAAAAGAAGCCAAUUAAAAGUGGGGCAUGUCAUUACACUGAC
rnacentral:lncRNA from 1 species